rnacentral:rRNA from 1 species
AGUGAACGCUGGCGGUAGGCCUAACACAUGCAAGUCGAACGGCAGCACAGUAAGAGCUUGCUCUUACGGGUGGCGAGUGGCGGACGGGUGAGGAAUACAUCGGAAUCUACUUUUUCGUGGGGGAUAACGUAGGGAAACUUACGCUAAUACCGCAUACGACCUACGGGUGAAAGCAGGGGAUCUUCGGACCUUGCGCGAUUGAAUGAGCCGAUGUCGGAUUAGCUAGUUGGCGGGGUAAAGGCCCACCAAGGCGACGAUCCGUAGCUGGUCUGAGAGGAUGAUAAGCCACACUGGCACGGAGACACGGUCCAGACUCCUACGGGAGGCAGCAGUGGGGAAUAUUCGGCAAAGGGGGGAAGCCUGAUCCAGCCAUACCACGAGGGUGAAGAAGGCCUUCGGGUUGUAAAGACCUUUUGUUGGGAAAGAAAAGCAGCAGGUUAAUACCCCGCUGUUCUGACGGUACCCAAAGAAUAAGCACCGGCUAACUUCGUG